rnacentral:rRNA from 1 species
GAUGAACGCUAGCUACAGGCUUAACACAUGCAAGUCGAGGGGAAACGAUAGAGAAAGCUUGCUUUUUCUAGGCGUCGACCGGCGCACGGGUGAGUAACGCGUAUCCAACCUGCCCACCACUUGGGGAUAACCUUGCGAAAGUAAGACUAAUACCCAAUGAUAUCUCAAGAAGACAUCUGAAUGAGAUUAAAGAUUUAUCGGUGAUGGAUGGGGAUGCGUCUGAUUAGCUUGUUGGCGGGGUAACGGCCCACCAAGGCGACGAUCAGUAGGGGUUCUGAGAGGAAGGUCCCCCACAUUGGAACUGAGACACGGUCCAAACUCCUACGGGAGGCAGCAGUGAGGAAUAUUGGUCAAUGGGCGAGAGCCUGAACCAGCCAAGUAGCGUGCAGGAUGACGGCCCUAUGGGUUGUAAACUGCUUUUAUAAGGGAAUAAAGUGAGUCUCGUGAGGCUUUUUGCAUGUACCUUAUGAAUAAGGACCGGCUAACUACGUGCCAGCCGCCGCAGUAA